rnacentral:tRNA from 1 species
GCCUGGGUGGGUCAGUGGGCUGGGCGUCCGACUUUGGCUCAGAUCAUGAUCUCUUGGUUUGUGAGUUCGAGCCCCACCUCAGGCU